rnacentral:rRNA from 1 species
CUGUGUCCUUCGACGCCGGUUCACCGCCUGUCGGUGCCAACUGGCGUUUUGCGGGACGUCCUGUCGGUGGUGUGCCAGGAAUCUUAGUUGUGCUAAGCUUUGCUCAGUGCAGCUCUGGUUUCGGGCCACUUUCAUAAUCCCGCCGCGGUGCUCUUAAUCGAGUGUCGAGGCGGGCCGGCACGUUUACUUUGAACAAAUUAGAGUGCUUCAAGCAGGCUUGUCACGCCUGUAUACUGUGUGCAUGGAAUAAUGGAAUAGGACCUCGGUUCUAUUUUGUUGGUUUCCGGAAUCUGAGGUAAUGAUCAAUGGGGACAGGCGGGGGCAUUCGUAUUGCGACGUUAGAGGUGAAAUUCUUGGAUCGUCGCAAGACGGACCGAAGCGAAAGCAUUUGCCAAGUAUGUUCCCGUCGAUCAAGAACGAAAGUUAGAGGUUCGAAGGCGAUCAGAUACCGCCCUAGUUCUAACCAUAAACAAUGCCUGCCAGCGAUCCGCCGGCGUCCCUCCGAUGACCCGGCGGGCAGCUUCCGGGAAACCAGAGCUUUUGGGUUCCGGGGGAAGUAUGGUUGCAAAGCUGAAACUUAAAGGAAUUGACGGAAGGGCACCACCAGGAGUGGAGCCUGCGGCUUAAUUUGACUCAACACGGGAAAACUCACCAGGCCCGGACACCGGAAGGAUUGACAGAUUGAUAGCUCUUUCUUGAUUCGGUGGGUGGUGGUGCAUGGCCGUUCUUAGUUGGUGGAGCGAUUUGUCUGGUUAAUUCCGAUAACGAACGAGACUCUAGCCUACUAACUAGACGUAUCUGGUAUCAGCAAUCGUGCUACCAGCGAUCAUAUCUCUUCUUAGAGGGACAGGCGGCUUCUAGCCGCACGAGACUGAGCAAUAACAGGUCUGUGAUGCCCUUAGAUGUCCUGGGCCGCACGCGCGCUACACUGAAGGAAUCAGCGUGUCUUCCCUGUCCGAAAGGACCGGGUAACCCGCUGAACCUCCUUCGUGCUUGGGAUUGGGGCUUGCAAUUGUUCCCCAUGAACGAGGAAUUCCCAGUAAGCGCGAGUCAUAAGCUCGCGUUGAUUACGUCCCUGCCCUUUGUACACACCGCCCGUCGCUACUACCGAUUGAAUGAUUUAGUGAGGUCUUCGGACCGGUGCGCGGAGGCGGUUUACCGCUCCCGAUGUUGUCGGAAAGAUGACCAAACUUGAUCAUU